rnacentral:rRNA from 1 species
ACGGGGACCCGCACAAGCAGCGGAGCGUGUGGUUUAAUUCGUUGCUACACGAAGAACCUUACCUGGGUUUGACAUAUAGGUUGUAGGGAACUGAAAGGGACCGACCUUCGGGGAGCCUAUACAGGUGUUGCAUGGCUGUCGUCAGCUCGUGUCGUGAGAUGUUCGGUUAAGUCCGCUAACGAGCGCAACCCUCGUCGUAUGUUAUAUGUGUCAUACGAGACUGCCGGUAAAAAGCCGGAGGAAGGUGAGGAUGAUGUCAAGUCAGCAUGACCUUUAUAUCCAGGGCUACACACACGCUACAAUGGUCUGUACAAUGGGUAGCCAAGCCGCGAGGCGGAGCCAAUCCUGAAAGCAGGCCUCAGUUCAGAUUGCAGUCUGCAACUCGACUGCAUGAAGCCGGAGUUGCUAGUAACCGCAGGUCAGCAAUACUGCGGUGAAUACGUUCCCGGGUCUU